rnacentral:rRNA from 1 species
AAUCAACGCUGGCGGCGUGCCUAACACAUGCAAGUCGAACGCGAAAGGGGAGCAAUCCCUGAGUAGAGUGGCGAACGGGUGAGUAACACGUGGGUGACCUGCCUUCGAGUGGGGGAUAACGUCCCGAAAGGGACGCUAAUACCGCAUGACAUCCUGCCUUUGAAGAGGCGGUGAUUAAAGCUGGGGAUCGCAAGACCUGGCGCUUGAAGAGGGGCUCGCGUCCGAUUAGCUAGUUGGUGGGGUAAUGGCCUACCAAGGCGACGAUCGGUAGCCGGCCUGAGAGGGCGGACGGCCACACUGGGACUGAGACACGGCCCAGACUCCUACGGGAGGCAGCAGUGGGGAAUUGUUCGCAAUGGGCGCAAGCCUGACGACGCAACGCCGCGUGGAGGAUGAAGAUUUUCGGAUCGUAAACUCCUUUCGAUCGGGACGAAUCGGUCGCGACCUAAUAUGUCGUGGCACUGACGGUACCGAGAGAAGAAGCCCCGGCUAACUCCGUGCCAGCAGCCGCGGUAAUACGGGGGGGGCAAGCGUUGUUCGGAAUUACUGGGCGUAAAGGGCGCGUAGGCGGCCUGCUAAGUCGGAUGUGAAAUCCCUCGGCUUAACCGGGGAACUGCAUCCGAUACUGGCGGGCUUGAAUCCGGGAGAGGGAUGUGGAAUUCCAGGUGUAGCGGUGAAAUGCGUAGAUAUCUGGAGGAACACCGGUGGCGAAGGCGGCAUCCUGGACCGGUAUUGACGCUGAGGCGCGAAAGCCAGGGGAGCAAACGGGAUUAGAUACCCCGGUAGUCCUGGCCCUAAACGAUGAGUGCUUGGUGUGGCGGGUAUCGAUCCCUGCCGUGCCGAAGCUAACGCAUUAAGCACUCCGCCUGGGGAGUACGGUCGCAAGGCUG